AAUAUUCAUUUCAUGAUUUUCAUCCUCCCGAGAUUCACUCAAACUCAAGCGACAGCCAUUUUCCACUUUCCAGCAAAACCGCACCCAUUCCCUUCAUUCACAAUUCACAAAACACAACCAAAAAAAAAACUUAUUCCCUUCUCCCCCACAACUAAAAAAAAAAAAAAAAAAAAAAAUUUAGUUGAACCUCUACGCCACCUUCAAAAUUCUUUGCCACCUUUUUCUCUCUCUUCACUCUCCCACUCCACAUUCCAAAAACCCAAAAAAAAAAAAUAUGACAGGCCAGGACCAAAAUAAAACAGAGAUCACCAGAGAAACAAUUACAAAACCCCGACGACAAACCCACUCAAGCCGUCAACCUCGUCCCACAACCCGACCACCACCACCUCGUCCUCCACAACCUCCUCCAACCCGGCCCGCCCGAGUCCCACUAAAAAAGCUCUUAAAAGUAACAUCCGUUGCAGGUGGCAUACAAUUCGGUUGGGCCUUACAACUCUCUCUCCUAACUCCUUACGUUCAAGAGUUAGGCAUCCCUCAUGCUUUUGCUAGUAUCAUUUGGCUUUGUGGUCCUGUCUCUGGUUUCAUCGUCCAGCCUUUAGUCGGCCAUAUUAGUGACCGCUCUACUAGUCGCUAUGGCCGUCGUCGCCCUUUUAUUCUUGCUGGUGCUGCCAUGAUCAUUGCUGCUGUUUCAAUUGUUGGAUUCUCCGCUGAUAUUGGGUUUUUGAUGGGGGAUAAAGUUGAUGGAGGAGAGAGAAAACGACCGAUGGCGAUUGUUGUUUUUGUUAUUGGCUUUUGGUUGCUUGAUGUUGCUAAUAAUACUACUCAAGGUCCUUGUAGAGCUUUGCUUGCUGAUCUUACUGGCAAGGAUCAUAGAAGGAACAGAGUAGCAAAUGCAUACUACUCUUUGUAUAUGGCUAUUGGCAACAUCCUUGGCUUUGCCACAGGAUCAUACACUAGCUGGUACACUAUUCUUCCAUUCACUCGCACUCAUGCUUGCAGUGAAAGUUGUGCCAAUCUCAAGUCAGCUUUCCUCAUCGACAUUAUAUUUAUAGUAAUAACAACGUAUAUAAGUAUCACAGCUGCUCAUGAAGUUCCUUUGAAUACCGAGGAUGGAGGCACUGGCAUAUCAGAAGGAUCUCAGCCAUCUGGCCAUGCUGAGGAAGCCUUCUUUUGGGAACUAUUUGGAACUUUUAGAUAUCUACCUGGACCUGUUUGGAUUAUCCUUUCGGUUACUGCACUGACUUGGAUUGGGUGGUUUCCAUUCCUACUCUUUGACACUGACUGGAUGGGUCGGGAAGUUUAUGGUGGUGAUCCAGAUGAAGGGCAAAUCUACCAUAGAGGAGUCAGUACAGGUGCUCUUGGCCUGAUGUCGCAAUCAGUUGUUCUGGGUAUAACUUCAUUGUUGAUGGAGAAGCUCUGCAAGAAGUUGGGUUCUGGGAUUUUGUGGGGCAUCUCAAACAUUAUUAUGUCUUUGUGUUUUGUUGCAAUGCUUGUCAUCGCUUUUGUACUGAGCAAGGCAGACUCCUUUGGUUCCGGGAGUCCUCCUAAUGGUGCUGUUAUUGCUGCAGUGAUUGUUUUCACGAUUCUCGGUAUGCCAUUGGCGGUUACUUAUAGCAUCCCAUAUGCACUGAUUUCCUCCAGGAUUGAGUCACUGGGGCUAGGCCAAGGCUUAUCAAUGGGUGUGUUAAAUCUUGCAAUUGUGCUUCCCCAGGGAAGACAACAUUGACCUUGGAUGAGAUGCCUUUCAUAAGUCGAAAAGUUGAUGAAGCAAGGAGGAGGAUCAUCAAGUCAAAAGGGAGCCUUUAGUGUGUCGGCGUGUGGUAAAUGGGGUAAGAAAGUGUGUAUUUCUGAUGUGACCUCUCACUAUUGUGAUAAAAAGGGGCACUUCCAAUCGCAACGCCCAAAGGCAAAGAUGGAUUUGAAGAAGCUCAGGGAGUGAAAGGGAAUGACGACCAUGGUUUGAGGGGGAGAUACAUUUGACGAGGAAUAUCCACAUGACGCUCCGUUGGUUGCAAGUAUUGUAGAACCAACAAGCGAAUGAGUUUUAGAUUUGAGAUGCUUGUUUCAUAUUUGCCACAAGGAGCAUGACUGUUUUUUAGAAGGUGUGAAAAAGAAGCGAUCAAUCUACUUGAUGGGGAUAGAGUGAAGGAUGACGGGAUAGGUGAGAUCGUGCUCGAGCCUCAUGGUCAUUGUAGACAUCUUACGCAAGUAAGAUACAUCCUACUCGUAAAUAAUAACAUGAUUUCUCUAGAAAAACUUCACGAUGGAUGCACUAUCAAGAGACAUUAAGGAGCUAUUUUAGUUAUAGAGUGCUGGGAGACAAUCAUGAAAGCAACACGGAAUACGAAAAGCGUCUUCGUAGUUGAAGCAUGUGUCAAGCACGGAGAGGUCUUGGUUUGAGGGGAGGCAUCGUCACCCCACCAACGACGUGAAGCUCUUGAUCGUUGAUCGAAGAGGUUGGCCGUGUUUGAGCUUGAUGGGAGGUUCUUUGUUAUGCAAGUCCAAUAGUCCAAUAUGGUGAUUGUGUCCUUGGGAAGCGGGCCAUGGGAUCAAUUGUUUGGUGGGGGAAACUCACCAUCUAUAGCUGUAGCAGGAGUCGCGUCUUUUGCUAGUGGACUCAUGGCCAUCUUGGCUCUUCCUCGAUCUAGAACUGAU